rnacentral:rRNA from 1 species
AUUGACCUCGGAUCAGGUAGGAAUACCCGCUGAACUUAAGCAUAUCAAUAAAGCGGAGGA